rnacentral:rRNA from 1 species
UAAGCAGCGUGUGAAAAUGAUGAGGCUCAACCUCAUGUCCAUGCGCUGAACUGCUAAGCUAGAGCAUGAUAGAGGUAGCUGGAAUUCCUAGUGUAGGAGUGAAAUCCGUAGAUAUUAGGAGGAACACCGAUGGCGUAGGCAGGCUACUGGAUCAUUGCUGACGCUCAGGCACGAAAGCGUGGGGAGCGACCGGGAUUAGAUGCCCCGUUAGUCCACGCCGUAAACUAUGGAUGCUA